rnacentral:snRNA from 1 species
GGAUGUGAAGGUGAUUCGGCUGUGACAUCUGACAUCCUAUUGAUCGCCAGUGUUGAUUUGGCUGAUCUGUCUGGCUAGGCAGGUGUCCCCUUCAUCCCUCACUGCUCCAUGUGUGUCCCUCCAGAAGCUAUGUGCUGUUCAAAGAGGACGACCUUCCCAGAUAGAGGAGUAUUGCUCUUUGGUCAAGGGUAAAGGAGUAGCUGUGAACCCCUGCUAGAACCUCUGAAGAAGCUCUCAAGGUAAAUCGGUAGGGGAACAUAGGUUAGUCAAGCUUCCAGGACUCCAAACAUCAAAUGAGGUGCUGCAUGUGGCAAUUUACCUUUCUUA